GACGAACGCUAGCUACAGGCUUAACACAUGCAAGUCGAGCGACCGGCGCAUGGGUGAGUAACACGUACCCUACCUGCCCUUUUCUCGGGGACAGUCUUUCGGAAGUCUGAUUAAUACCCGUCAUAAAGUAUGGGGAUGCGUUCUAUUAGGUUGUUGGUGAGGUAACGGUGCACCAAGCCUUCGAUGGAUAGGGGUUCUGAGGGGAAGGUCCCCCGCAUUGGAAGUAAGGCACGGUCCAAACUCCUACGGGGGGCAGCAGUGAGGGAUAUUGGUCAAUGGGCGCUAACCUGAACCAGCCAAGUAGCGUGAAGGGUGAAGGCUUAUGGGUCGUAAACUUCUUUUAUGUAAGAAUAUGUAUUAUAUGAAUAAGGAUCGGCUAACUCCGUGCCAGCAGCCGCGGUAAUAC
rnacentral:rRNA from 1 species